rnacentral:rRNA from 1 species
UACCAGCACCCCGAGUGGUCGGGACGUUUAUUGGGCCUAAAGCAUCCGUAGCCGGUUCUACAAGUCCUCCGUUAAAUCCACCUGCUUAACAGAUGGGCUGCGGAAGAUACUAUGGAGCUAGGAGGCGGGAGAGGCAAGCGGUACUCGAUGGGUAGGGGUAAAAUCCGUUGAUCCAUUGAAGACCACCAGUGGCGAAGGCGGCUUGCCAGAACGCGCUCGACGGUGAGGGAUGAAAGCUGGGGGAGCAAACCGGG